AGAGUUUGAUCCUGGCUCAGGACGAACGCUGGCGGCGUGCCUAAUACAUGCAAGUAGAACGCUGAAGAAAGGAGCUUGCUUCUUUUGGAUGAGUUGCGAACGGGUGAGUAACGCGUAGGUAACCUGCCUUGUAGCGGGGGAUAACUAUUGGAAACGAUAGCUAAUACCGCAUAACAGCUUUUGACACAUGUUAGAAGCUUGAAAGAUGCAAUUGCAUCACUACGAGAUGGACCUGCGUUGUAUUAGCUAGUAGGUAGGGUAACGGCCUACCUAGGCGACGAUACAUAGCCGACCUGAGAGGGUGAUCGGCCACACUGGGACUGAGACACGGCCCAGACUCCUACGGGAGGCAGCAGUAGGGAAUCUUCGGCAAUGGGGGCAACCCUGACCGAGCAACGCCGCGUGAGUGAAGAAGGUUUUCGGAUCGUAAAGCUCUGUUGUAAGAGAAGAACGUGUGUGAGAGUGGAAAGUUCACACAGUGACGGUAACUUACCAGAAAGGGACGGCUAACUACGUGCCAGCAGCCGCGGUAAUACGUAGGUCCCGAGCGUUGUCCGGAUUUAUUGGGCGUAAAGCGAGCGCAGGCGGUUUAAUAAGUCUGAAGUUAAAGGCAGUGGCUUAACCAUUGUUCGCUUUGGAAACUGUUAAACUUGAGUGCAGAAGGGGAGAGUGGAAUUCCAUGUGUAGCGGUGAAAUGCGUAGAUAUAUGGAGGAACACCGGUGGCGAAAGCGGCUCUCUGGUCUGUAACUGACGCUGAGGCUCGAAAGCGUGGGGAGCAAACAGGAUUAGAUACCCUGGUAGUCCACGCCGUAAACGAUGAGUGCUAGGUGUUAGGCCCUUUCCGGGGCUUAGUGCCGCAGCUAACGCAUUAAGCACUCCGCCUGGGGAGUACGACCGCAAGGUUGAAACUCAAAGGAAUUGACGG
rnacentral:rRNA from 1 species